rnacentral:lncRNA from 1 species
UACAACUCUACAUAGCAGCCCCAGCAAAUAACCUCAAAUUCAAUCAGACCACUUUGCUUGCUUACUUUAAUCCAGUGGCUUUCCAUUUUAACUGAAUUAAAAUUCUGUCGGCUAUCCUGAUAUACUAAUUACUACAUGAAUUAACUUUUAUCUAUCUGACUAAACUCCUCUACAGCUACUCUCGCAUUUGUCUGGUAAUUCCAAGGAACAGAUCUGCUUUCUGUUUCUUGAAUCUACGAAGCUUGUUUUAGCUUCAGGGCCUUUGCUCUAGCUGGCCCCUCUGCCUGGAAGGUGCUCCCAGCCCACUGAGCUCCUUGUCUGGUAAUUCCAAGGAACAGAUCUGCUUUCUGUUUCUUGAAUCUACCAAGCUUGUUUUAGUUUCAGGGCCUUUGCUCUAGCUGGCCCCUCUGCCUGGAAGGUGCUCCCAGCCCACUGAGCCCCUGAACUUUCAUCUCCUCUGCUGGGGAGGUCUCCCUGAAACCCAAACUAAAAUUGAGCUACAACCAAGAAGAGGCUCCAUUGCUGACUGGCUUUAAUACAAUGGCAGCAAGGCCAUUGAGAGUCUAAAGAAGAAUAUCUCCAAGCAGGAGUCGCUCCUCAGGGCACAUAACCUCAACGACAAGAGUUACACAUUCCUGAUUUCCUCUGACUAUGAAUAUGUCUAACAGAGGGAGAACUUGUGGAAGCAGCAGCAGAAGUAUUUCAAAAGCUUUUCUCUGAUGUUUGUGGAGCUACAGAUGUUGAUCAACAUGUCUGUCAAACUUCAGACUGCUCACAACAUUCUAAUGACUGUCAACAAAGAAGAUGGUGAAUCUCCUGAGUAUUACAGGUUUCUGAAUAUUGUAGUCCACUCCACCACCAGACUAAAGCAGAGCUUAUGUCUGUACUGAACCCUGGAGAUAGAUUUCUAUUGGUGUUUUGUCAAUUAUAUAUACUUAAAAAUUUGAGAAAGGUAAUAUUUCAAAUAAACAACAAAUAUAUUGCCUAUUGAAGAUGCAACAUGCAUGCAUAUACAUUACUUAAUAUAAGAAAUAAAAUAUAUUGUGAUCUUUCUACUCCUUAGCUCAGCUGGGUCCAAGUUUUUGUCUCAUGACCCGGAAGAAUUAGGCACAUGGACACUGGAGUGAGUGGAGUAGAAUUUUUUAAGCAAAAGGAAAGCUCUCAGCAGAGAGAGUGGUCCUGAAAGCAGGUUGCCAGUUACCCCCUUCACGGUUGAAUACAGGGAAUUUUUUUUAUAAGCUGAUGAGGCUGGGUUCGUUGUUUGUAACAAGGUGCAAAUUCCUGGCAGCUCCACCCCAUCCUUCCAGUGCACAUGCGGGCUCUUAGUCUGAGCCUGUCCAUAUUUAUUUAUUUCCCUUACUGCUCAUGUGCUAAGGAAUGAAAUUUUCCACUGUAGGCCUGUUUAGGCAAGCCUCUUGUGCAAGUUCCCUUAGCUGCAUAAAGCAUCUGGUAUAGGCUAGGCAUGGUGGCUCACAUCUGUAAUCCCAGAACUUUGGGAGGAGGAGGCCAGUGGAUCAUGAGGUCAGGAGAUCGAGACCAUACUGGCUAACAUGGUGAAACCCUGUCUCUAUUAAAAAUACAAAAAAUUAGCCAGGCAUGGUGGCACGUGCCUGUAGUUCCACGUACUUGGGAAGCUGAGGCCAGAGAAUUGCUUGAACCCGGGAGAGGGAGACUACAGUGAGCCUAGAUCACACCACAGAACUCCAGCCUGGGCGACAGGGUGAGACUCCAUCCCCCAAAAAAAAAAAAAAAUAUCUGGUGUAAGACUUGUGGGGUGCAUCAGAGGUUCUCCAGGGACCCUUCUUUUACUUUCUGCAUAAAACAAGUUAUUUAACUCUCCACAAUACUUUAUCAAUAAAAUUGUCUUCUGUACAUGCCUCUCAAUUCCAUUACUUUCUUCCUCCACCUUAGCUCCAAAAGAAAUUGCUAAUCUUAGUUUAAAAAUAAUUUCCUUUUUAAAUUUUUUUCAUCCACGAUAUAUAUUCAUAACACAUAUCCAUAAUAUUUUAUUAUUUGUUUUAAACUUAAAUAGUAUUAUAACAUAGACAUUUGUCUAGGGAUUUUGUUUUCACUUGGUAUUAUGUUGCUGAGAUUCAUUCAUAUUGCCAUAUGACAUUACACAUCUUCCAAUUAUCUCUGAAAUUUCUCUCUUCCUUCCUUAAACCUACUUAAGCCAUGUUUAUCACCAAAUACUCUUUAGCUAAAUCUCUUGUACAAUGUACAAUACAUAUAACUACUUAUAUGUACACUAAUAUAUGCAUUUCCAAGAACACGGGAAAGCUAUACUCAUUUUACAAAUUCUGUAAAUAAAAAUAAUACUAGCAACUUCUCUGUCUAGUGUGUUCUCUAUUCUUUUGUUAAUUGACCAUAAAAUAGUAGUGAAGAUGGAGUAAUGGAAUAUGAUAAUUUGUGGUGGUAUUUAAUAUGAG